rnacentral:lncRNA from 1 species
GGUUGACGGGUUGGCCGCGGAUUUGCACUGUAGGCGGCCUAGCAUUACCCAUGGCCGGUUGGCUCGCCAUCCUGAAAUUAGCAUCAGGUAGUUUUGGACAGUUAAUAGUGGAACAAAUUAUUAGCAUAUUGAUUUGGCAAAAAACAAGGGGUACAAUGUAUGGAUUGCUCCUCUAGUAUCUCGAUAUAGCAAUUUGUACCCUGAACUUCAACAUAUAUCAUUCAAGUCCUGACCGCAUGAAAAUCUAAUUUUUCUUAUUUCCCCUUAUAGACACUAUAUUAUCCCAUUUCCUAUAUAAUGACGACUAACUUAUUUUAGUUUACUUUAAACAGGGUCAAAAGGUCAGCUUAUGAAAUGACUAUGCACAAAUUUAUUUUAGUUCAAGGACUCUAUGAGAAGUCCAAAUGCUGGAAUACUACAUGUGGAUUCAUCUCCAAAUAUAGGUCAGUUGGAAGUGGGUCCCUGAACUACUCAUUUCUUCAAUUUGAACCCCUCAACUAGCGUAUUCCUUGAAACCAGAAUAACUCCAUAGAACUAAUUAAAGGACUCUGAACCAUUCUAGACAGAACUUUCGGAAACUUAAUAAAAUAUUCCAUGACCUAACCAAAUAAUCUGAAACUACUUCAAAGGGAAGUGUUAAAUUCUGAAGGUCUUCGAGGAUUUUCUCAAAUCUAACAAUGAGUUAGCUAGGCAAUUCACACCCCAAGAUUAACAAUCUAUAGUUCAAGAAUACAUCUUUGUGUAACAAUUAUGGGUAAAGUGCUCCACUACUCCCCGAACAUUCAGCCAAGUUUCAUUUUGUCCUUGCACUUUCAAUUUUGACGUUAGGGUUCCCUAAACUCUUCAAAGAGUUUCACUUUUAAUCCUCACACAUAUUUACUAUUGGAGGAUAAAUUGUUGCCUACACCCAGUGCAUUUGUACAUCUAUGCACCAUACAUUUAUUAAUUACUUUUUCCAUCGCAUAUUUCAACCCUACCAUCCACUGAUUUAUAAUUUUUCUCUAUAUAAGAAUUGGACCUCUGGAAUGAAAGUAUGAAUGGAUGAAAAACCAAUGAAUUCAUGGUGAACAAACAAAUAGAUGAACUAAGUGCUAGCGAUAAUUACUCUAAGGAUAAAUGAAACAUUGUUCAGAGUUUAGGGACUAAAUUGAAACCUCACC